UACGUAGGGUGCAAGCGUUGUCCGGAAUUAUUGGGCGUAAAGAGCUCGUAGGCGGUUUGUUGCGUCGGCUGUGAAAUCCCGAGGCUCAACCUCGGGUCUGCAGUCGAUACGAGCAAACUAGAGUGUUGCAGGGGAGACUGGAAUUCCUGGUGUAGCGGUGAAAUGCGUAGAUAUCGUAAGGAAGACCAGUGGCGAAGGCGAGUCUCUGGACAGUUACUGACGCUGAGGCACGAAGGCCAGGGGAGCAAACGGG
rnacentral:rRNA from 1 species